rnacentral:rRNA from 1 species
UACGUAGGGUGCGAGCGUUGUCCGGAAUUAUUGGGCGUAAAGGGCUCGUAGGCGGUUUGUCGCGUCGGGAGUGAAAUCCACUGGCUUAACUGGUGGCUUGCUUUCGAUACGGGCAGACUGGAGGUAUGCAGGGGAGAACGGAAUUCCUGGUGUAGCGGUGAAAUGCGCAGAUAUCUGGAGGAACACCGGUGGCGAAGGCGGCAUCCUGGACCGGUAUUGACGCUGAGGCGCGAAAGCUAGGGGAGCAAACGGG